rnacentral:rRNA from 1 species
GCCUGGGGAUGGGUCCGCGUCCUAUUAGCUUGUUGGUGGGGUAACGGCCUACCAAGGCGACGAUGGGUACCGGGCGUGAGAGCGUGGCCCGGCUCACUGGGACUGAGACACUGCCCAGACACCUACGGGUGGCUGCAGUCGAGAAUCUUCGGCAAUGGGCGAAAGCCUGACCGAGCGACGCCGCGUGCGGGAUGAAGGCCUUCGGGUUGUAAACCGCUGUCAGAGGGGAGGAAACGUCGGAGGGUCACCUUCCGGCUUGACCUAUCCUCAGAGGAAGGACGGGCUAAGUUCGUGCCAGCAGCCGCGGUAAGACGAACCGUCCAAACGUUAUUCGGAAUUACUGGGCUUAAAGGGUGCGUAGGCGGCCGUGCAAGUCGGGUGUGAAAUCCCUCGGCUCAACCGAGGAACUGCGCCCGAUACUGUGCGGCUCGAGGGAGACAGAGGUGAGCGGAACUUGCGGUGGAGCGGUGAAAUGCGUUGAUAUCGCAAGGAACACCCGUGGCGAAAGCGGCUCACUGGGUCUCUUCUGACGCUGAGGCACGAAAGCUAGGGGAGCGAACGGGAUUAGAUACCCCGGUAGUCCUAGCUGUAAACGUUGAGCACUGGGUCGGAGGUCCCCCCAUAGGCUUCCGGCCGUAGCGAAAGUGUUAAGUGCUCCGCCUGGGGAGUAUGGUCGCAAGGUUGAAACUCAAAGGAAUUGACGGGGGCUCACACAAGCGGUGGAGGAUGUGGCUUAAUUCGAGGCUACGCGAAGAACCUUAUCCUGGAUUUGACAUGCACGGAGUUAACCCUGGGAAACCAGNGGCCACGCCCUUUGGGUGNNGAACGUGCANNCAGGGUGCUGGCAUNGGCUGUCGUCAGCUCGUGUCGUGAGAUGUCGGGUUAAGUCCCUUAACGAGCGAAACCCUUGUCACUAGUUGCCAGCGGGUCAUGCCGGGGACUCUAGUGAGACUGCCGGUGUUAAACCGGAGGAAGGUGGGGAUGACGUCAAGUCCUCAUGGCCUUUAUGUCCAGGGCUGCACACGUCCUACAAUGGCGCAUACAAAGGGAAGCCAGCCUGUGAGGGUGUGGAGCAAAUCCCAAAAAGUGCGCCUCAGUUCGGAUUGCAGGCUGCAACCCGCCUGCAUGAAGCCGGAAUCGCUAGUAAUCGCGGGUCAGCAUACCGCGUGAUGUGUUCCUGAGCCUUGUACACACCGCCCGUCAAGCCACGAAAGUGGGGGGCCGCCGAAGUCGCCGAGCUAACCCUAACGGGAGGCAAGCG